rnacentral:rRNA from 1 species
GUGAGGAAUAUUCCGCAAUGGGGGAAACCCUGACGGAGCAAUGGCGCGUGCAGGAUGAAGGCCCUCGGGUCGUAAACUGCUUUUAUAUGAGAAGAAUAUGACGGUAACAUAUGAAUAAGGGACGGCUAACUACGUGCCAGCAGCCGCGGUCAUACGUAGGUCCCAAGCGUUAUCCGGAGUGACUGGGCGUAAAGAGUUGCGUAGGCGGCUCGUUAAGCGUGAAAUGAAAUUUAUCGGCUCAACCGGUAAACUAUUUCGCGAACUGACGGGCUCGAGAGUAUGAGAAGUUACUGGAAUUUCUAGUGUAGCAGCGAAAUGCGUAGAUAUUAGAAAGAACACCAACGGCGUAGGCAGGUAACUGGCAUACAUCUGACGCUGAGGCACGAAAGCGUGGGGAGCGAACCGGAUUAGAAACCCGAGUAGUCC